rnacentral:other from 1 species
ACACUGCUGCAGUGUUCGACUAGCCGGAAAAUUCUUCGAGCCUUAAUUUCUUGAGGGGGCCAGUCCCUGAGGACAGUGUGCAAGCCUGACUUGAUUGGGAAGCCUUAGUCCUCAUACCAACUCCCACCUGCGCAAGCAGGUUCAAGAAUCCCGGCAAAACGGCACAGGCGGGGUGUC